AAUUUAAAGAAAGAUUGCAAUUAGAAGAUAAAUUAGAAGAAAAUAAUCAAGAUGAUAUAAGGCAUAGACAUGAACGAAAAACCUAGUACAUUAGGAGUAAAAAAUCCAAAAUACUUAAAUCCAACAUAUUAUAAUAUAAGUUAUGAAAAAUAUGAUAGAGAAGAGAUUUUAUGGGUUAAAAGAUUAAAUAAAUGGACGCCUAAACCAAAAACUGAACAACAUA
rnacentral:misc_RNA from 1 species